AUGCGCUUGAGUUUUAAUUCGCCGACCCUCGUGAUUUACGGCCCUCGAGCUGAAUCAUGCAAUCAGUCAAAGCACUGCAAACUCACAUUUUACCGGCCCUCAAACGAGACAAACAUUAAGUACUUACCCACUGUAGUACACCAAAAAGCGAUGCACUACUGCCAAAUUGCUGAUGAACUGGCAACACACAUGGGCACACACACACAUACUCACACAGGCAACGUUUAUCGGGUGUUCCCAAUUAGUUAAGCAUUUCCACAAAUUCCAACAGAAACUCUAGCUCAGCGCCGUCCUUUUGCCGGUUGUCUCAGAUGUCUCGGCAGUUGUCGGUUGUGGCCAUAAUGAUUAUUAUUGUGCCAGUUGGGCCUACACAUUAAAAAAGGUAUCAUAAAGCGGAUUUUACCAAAAAAAAAUUUAAUUUAACUAAAUAUUAAUGAGAAGAGAAGCAGUUACGAUCUAUAUUUACAAAAUAACGAAUUGAAUAGAUCUCCUAUAUUUGUUUCCAUUGGCAUGAUGCUAAAAUAAUGUAAUUAUUAAACAAUAACCUUUUUAGAAUUUAUUAGUAAGAUUUCAUAAUUAUUGCUCAAUUUACUACCCCUUUCUCUCACUGCACGAGUAAAAUUUCCAGGCUUGUGUAUUGAUUUGGCUUGCAAUGCAAUAAUUACAUGGUUACAUGAGCGCAAUUUCCGUAACAUAACUCACGGAGGUCGUAUGCCCCCGCUUUACGCAUGCAACAUGUUGUCUGCCACAGGACCUCCAUACGCCCACCCUCUCCCCUCCACCGUCGUAUCCUGCCUUUGUUAACUAACCAUCGAACUACACACACAUGCGUGUUUGGCGAGAGUUCGCCUUGUUGACGAGUUGAUGAGAUGUUAAGAUUAUGUUAAUGAGUUCAUUAAAUCACAAGGAACAAGCAACCGCAUAGAGUUACAGACAGUUGGGCGGUUAGACUACUGAGGACUCUAGAGUUUCCGAGAUCUCUGAACUUGGGUCAGUUCUACUUGAGGUUUGCCGGACAUCGAUAUAUUGCCUCGCACUUUGUCACUUUACGGCUAAUUAGUAGACUUAAACUGCAGUUAAUUGACGAAUUUGAAUGCGAAAGUUAUCCAUUUAACGGAGUACUGCAUAAAUCGCACAAUGCCACAUUAAGUACCAAUCCAGUUUUCGAGUGCAGUAAUCGCCGAGUUGAACAACUGAAAUCACGUUCCCACGUUCGCCACUCGCGCAAAAUUUCAAUCUGAUCGAUUUGUGUAUUUGUCAAACUGAUUUAUCGAGUGUCUCGAUUUGAUGGCGUGGAAAUGACGACCCCCAGACCUCCACAUACACACACCCACAAACAAACACACACACACACGUACACCUGCCGUAAUGAUAUGCAAAUAGGAUGCCCUUUUCAGCUGCACCCGCAUGGGUUCGUAGUUCCAACGGCAUUGGCAUUGCUAUUGGCACACGCAUUCCAUCGGGGACACACGGAAAACCUCAUUUCAAUCUCGGCUGAGCCGCUCUGAGCUCCUGCAGCCAAACAUCCGUGCACACACAGCACGGUCCGGCGAACGGAGACGGAGUCAUUUGGCACACUUCCACCCUCCCACACUCACACACACCAAGCAACACACACACACAGCCAUUUGGAAGGAUUCUUCUCACAGCAUUGCUAUGGUGCACUGGAAAAAUCAGAGCUACUAAUCUGAACUAAUCUAAUCUGAUUUUUAGUUAUUCAACUUAUCAACUUAUAUAUCCUUUUUCCUAUAAAUUUCUAGUGAGAAAAGUCCUUACUUUGUCUGAAACUCUAAAUAAUAUUAACAGAUCCCCAAGAGCUCAUGAUAUAUAUUUCUUACUUUGUAUAAGAACUUCUAAUCCUUCGACCAAAGAUAUAUUAUAUAUUUAUAGGACCUCCUUUUCUCUCAGUGCACCGUACAGCAUUGAUGGGUAACUCCUGCUCUGGGAACGAAAGUCGAAUGCAUUUGGCCAAAGCCUUUGCACUGUAUUGGCUCCUUUAUGCACAUUCAAUUGGUGGUGUGGCUAAUCUAGCGAAAUUCCAGCCAGCUGAGAAGGACCAACCCCAACUAAACCGAAUCGCAGCUUAUUUGAGCGCCGGAAAAAAGGAGGACGAAAUAAAUUUUUCACCCAACGACCGAACGCCGCAUUGGGGUCAAUUUUAAAUUAUACACUUCCGCUUCCGUGCUCCGACAUUCGCUCGAUUGACGACGAUGACGAUGACGAUGGUCGUCGGUGGGAUGUGGGAUACGUCUUGCCUUGCCUUGGACUCGACGACUCCUGUGUAAAUAUUGAAAUCGAUUCAGUUUUCAUAAGCCGUCCGCCUCCGUGAGUCAGGUAAAGCUGCCCGGCUGGCUGACUGGCUGGCUGGCAUCCUGUUGGAGCAGCAAGGACUCCGGACUAAGGAGCAAGGACGAAGGACGAGGAGAUUCGGUCUGUGGUUUCGCCAACUACUUGUUAUGCUUCAUGUUUUUGCCAAGUUGUUGUUUCUGCGCUCCCCUUUUGGCUCUCAGUCGGCCUGUUUAUGCAAGUGGAUUACGGUGUUUGGAUCUGAUUAUAAAUCAUCUUUAUAAUCCGUAAAUCGUGUUUGGUUAACAUAAUGGAAUAAAUUUAUUUUAUUUAUUGCA